AACGAACGCUGGCGGCAUGCCUAACACAUGCAAGUCGAACGAGAACUUCGGGUCUAGUGGCGCACGGGUGCGUAACGUGUGGGAUUCUGCCCUUGGGUUCGGAAUAACAUUUAGAAAUGACUGCUAAUACCGGAUGAUGACCUCGGUCCAAAGAUUUAUCGCCCAAGGAUGAGCCCGCGUAGGAGUAGCUGGUUGAUGAGUUAAAAGCUCACUAAGGCAACGAUACUUAGCUGGUCUGCGAGGAUGUUCAGGCACAAUGGGACCAAGACACCGCCCAGACUCCUACGGAAGGCAGGAGUGGGGAAUAUUGGACAAUGGGGGAAAGCCUGAUCCAGCAAUGCCGCGUAAGUGAUGAAGGCCUUAGGGUUGUAAAGCUCUUUUACCCGGGAUGAUAAUGACAGUACCGGGAGAAUAAGCCCCGGCUAACUCCGUGCCAGCAGCCGCCGUAAAAC
rnacentral:rRNA from 1 species